rnacentral:rRNA from 1 species
UACGAAGGGGGCUAGCGUUGCUCGGAAUUACUGGGCGUAAAGCGCACGUAGGCGGAUUGUUAAGUCGGGGGUGAAAUCCUGGAGCUCAACUCCAGAACUGCCUUCGAUACUGGCGAUCUCGAGUUCGGGAGAGGUGAGUGGAACUGCGAGUGUAGAGGUGAAAUUCGUAGAUAUUCGCAAGAACACCAGUGGCGAAGGCGGCUCACUGGCCCGAUACUGACGCUGAGGUGCGAAAAGCGUGG